rnacentral:rRNA from 1 species
GAUGAACGCUGGCGGCGUGCCUAAUACAUGCAAGUCGAGCGAACGGACGAGAAGCUUGCUUCUCUGAUGUUAGCGGCGGACGGGUGAGUAACACGUGGAUAACCUACCUAUAAGACUGGGAUAACUUCGGGAAACCGGAGCUAAUACCGGAUAAUAUUUUGAACCGCAUGGUUCAAAAGUGAAAGACGGUCUUGCUGUCACUUAUAGAUGGAUCCGCGCUGCAUUAGCUAGAUGGUAAGGUAACGGCUUACCAAGGCAACGAUGCAUAGCCGACCUGAGAGGGUGAUCGCCCACACUGGAACUGAGAAACGGUCCAGACUCCUACGGGAGGCAGCAGUAGGGAAUCUCCCGCAAUGGGCGAAAGCCUGACGGAGCAACGCCGCGGGAGUGAUGAAGGUCUUCGGAUCGUAAAACUCUGUUAUUAGGGAAGAACAUAUGUGUAAGUAACUGUGCACAUCUUGACGGUACCUAAUCAGAAAGCCACGGCUAACUACGUG